AAAGGCUUAAGUUAAUAAAAACUAAAAGCCUUCAAAGCUUUAAAUGGUAACCCCAGCCUUUA
rnacentral:tRNA from 1 species